rnacentral:rRNA from 1 species
CAGUAGCCGCGGUAAGACAGAGGAUGCAAGCGUUAUCCGGAAUGAUUGGGCGUAUAGCGUCUGUAGGUGGCUUUUCAAGUCCGCCGUCAAAUCCCAGGGCUCAACCGGGGAAGUGGCACCGAUACGAGCGGUCUUGAGGGGGGUAGGGGGGUCUGGAACUUCCGGUGGAGCGGUGAAAUGCGUUGAGAUCGGAAGGAACGCCCGAGGCGAAAGCGAGGCCCUGGACCCUUUCUGACGCUGAGACGCGAAAGCCAGGGGAGCGAACGGGAUUAGAUACCCCCGUAGUCCCUGUCUCUUAUAC